GAAAUGCGAUAAGUAAUGUGAAUUGCAGAGUUUUGUGAAUCAUCGAAUCUUUGAACGCACCUUGCGCUCCUUGGUAUUCCUUGGAGCAUGCCUGUUUGAGUAUCAUGAAAUCUUCAAAGUAAAUCUUUUGUUAACUCAAUUGGUUUCUACUUUGGUAUUGGAGGUCUUUGCAGCUUCACACCUGCUCCUCUUUGUUCAUUAGCUGGAUCUCAGUGUUAUGCUUGGUUCCACUCGGCGUGAUAAGUUAUCUAUCGCUGAGGACACUGUAAAAGGUGGCCAAGGUAAAUGCAGAUGAACCGCUUCUAAUAGUCCAUUGACUUGGACAAUACUUUUAUGAUCUGAUCUCAAAUCAGGUAGAACUACCCGCUGAACUUAAGC
rnacentral:misc_RNA from 1 species